UGAUAGGAAAGUCUGGAGGUCUAGUAUCAGGGUUGUAGGAUAGGGGCCCCUAGAGUUUAUCGUACUCCUCACCCGGGGUUGGGUGAGGCUUGGCAGGGCUAUCCAUAGAUGAUUUGUGUUUUGGAUUGUGUCUCUCUUAUGAUAGUUAUUUAUGGUAGUUACUGUAUGAUAUUAUUGCACGUUAUUUUAUUUAUGGUUCUUAUGUUUAGAUAAUUAUUUACGCU
rnacentral:lncRNA from 1 species